GGGCCCGCACAAGCGGUGGAGCAUGUGGUUUAAUUCGAUGCAACGCGAAGAACCUUACCUACUCUUGACAUCCAGAGAAUUCGCUAGAGAUAGCUUAGUGCCUUCGGGAACUCUGAGACAGGUGCUGCAUGGCUGUCGUCAGCUCGUGUUGUGAAAUGUUGGUUAAGUCCCGCAACGAGCGCAACCCUUAUCCUUGUUUGCCAGCACAUAAUGGUGGGAACUCUAAGGAGACUGCCGGUGACAAACCGGAGGAAGGUGGGGACGACGUCAAGUCAUCAUGGCCCUUACGGCCUGGGCUACACACGUGCUACAAUGGCUAGGACAGACGGCCGCAAACCCCGUGAGGGGGAG
rnacentral:rRNA from 1 species